rnacentral:lncRNA from 1 species
CUUGUACCCAUUUCACGCCACACAAUAAUGGCAGUUAAAGGUUUCAGUAGAGAAGAUUCGGGACUGGAAGAGUAUUUUUCAAAAGAGUUAUAAAAUAUAGAAUGUAAUACAACUUACAUAAAAGUUGGAGAAUGUUUGGGAGCAAACUAAGGUCUUGGAUGGAGGCUGUGCGGUCCAGGAAAAAGCAA